CGCCGACCAGCAUGGAUACGUUUGCAUUACAGGGACUUAACGCACCCAGAGCUGAUCUUACCGUGCAUAAAAUUGCUUUAUAUUCCAAGUAAGAGAUGUCCGACAUCUGAAGUUUGGAACAUUUUUUUCAAUAUGGCCGCUGCAAAAGUACUAAGAUGUGGUGGAACCAUGUUUAUUUUACAACACAAACAAGCGAGUAUUGCAAACGAUGUUUAUGGGUGCCGCCAUUUUGAAAUUCUGACUUCUUAACUAUGGGGCCGUUACCUCGGUGCUGACGUCAAAUCCAGUUCCGAGUUUCCACCAGGCAUUUCCAGUGCGAGUGCGCCAUCGGAGGGUUUGAUAAAAGGAUUAGGUGGUCAGCUUUACGUGGCUGCAGUCGAAUCUGGAUGUGGAGGGAAGAGCUGAUUGAAUAAUUCUUGUUUCCUUUCUGCCAGCAUAGCACUCUUCUUUGGGAAAAGUAAAAAUCAGCAUUAUGCCAGAUUUGUAAAUGUGCUCUGUGUGUCUGUAGAUUCCUCUCCGCUCACCGCUGUGUGAGCAGCUGCCUGGAAAUCUCAGCAUGUGGAAAACCCAGUGCUUGUGUUUCUACGUUGUUGUGUUCCAGAAUUUUAAAAUAUUCAUUUAUGGUGCUUUGCAAAGGAUUCACCGUCUCAUUCC